UUGUGAGGGAGGCUGAGCGUUUGGCCGAACAACGCGCAGCGCUUCUGCGCAGUUCGAGGGAUUCGCGCACGUUGCGUUUGGCGGCGCGAGAGGAG
rnacentral:rRNA from 1 species